UACGUAGGGUGCAAGCGUUGUCCGGAAUUAUUGGGCGUAAAGAGCUCGUAGGCGGUUUGUUGCGUCGGCUGUGAAAUCCCGAGGCUCAACCUCGGGUCUGCAGUCGAUACGAGCAAACUAGAGUGUUGCAGGGGAGACUGGAAUUUCCGGUGUAGCGGUGAAAUGCGUAGAUAUCGGAAGGAACAUCAGUGGCGAAAGCGACUUCCUGGACCAAUACUGACGCUCAUGAUGCGGAAAGCGUGGGGAGCAAACAGG
rnacentral:rRNA from 1 species